rnacentral:lncRNA from 1 species
AUUUACCUUAUUUGAGUGAGGACUGCCAAAUCCAGCAUGAGAAUUUGUGACAUUGAUGUUAUUCAGAUGUGAGAGUUUCUAGGACUGCAACUACUGGCUGCAGUUAUUUGGAGACUUUCUGUUUCUUCCAACCGUUAGCGCUGCAAUACGCUGUAACUAACUGAUUGCAGCGAGGCUCCAUGCUGAAUUUACACAUACAGAGUUCCAUAUCUGCCCAAGAAUGUGUGCACAUAGCUAGUGUCAUUGUAGGCACCGAGCCAUUUGUACGUGCUCUGCUGAGCACUCUGUCAGGUCUGUGA